GGUCAGAGGGAGAAGCAGACUCCCUGCCGAGCAGGGAGCCCGAUGUGGGACUCGAUCCCGGGACUCCAGGAUCAUGACCUGAGCCGAAGGCAGUCGCUUAACCAACUGAGCCACCCAGGCGCCCAAAAAAUAAAUAAAAUCUUAAAAAAAAAAAAAAGAAAAAGAAAAACUGUGUACUUUGUUGUAUGUCAAUCAUACCUCAAAGUCAUUUUAAAACAUCAUAGUUACCACAAACUAGAAAACUACUCUCAAGAAUCCUUAUAGUCAAUAAUAACCUAUCUUUGCUAUUUAGCACUCUAUAAAAUCAAUUAUCACGAUGAAGAACAGGUUAGUAGUUGCCAGGGGUUAGGGUGUUGGGAGGCGAUCAGGAAGUUACUGUAAAGAGGUAGCAUGAGGGAGCUUUUUGUAGCGAUGGAGCAGUCUGUAUUUUUUUUUUUUUAAUAUUUCUUUUUUUUUUUAUUAUUUUUUUUUAUUUUAUUUUUUAAAGAUUUUAUUUAUUAUUUAUUUGAGACAGAGAGAAUGAGAGACAGAGAGCAUGAGAGGGAGGAGGGUCAGAGGGAGAAGCAGACUCCCUGCCGAGCAGGGAGCCCGAUGCGGGACUCGAUCCCGGGACUCCAGGAUCAUGACCUGAGCUGAAGGCAGUCGCUUAACCAACUGAGCCACCCAGGCGCCCAAUAUUUCUUUAAAAAAAAAUUUUUUUAAGAUUUUAUUUAUUUAUUUGACAGAGACACAGCGAGAGAGAGAGGGAACACAAGCAGGGGGAGUGGGAGAGGGAGAAGCUCACCUUCUUGCUGAGCAGGGAGCCUGAUGCGGGGCUCGAUCCCAGGACCCCAGGAUCAUGACCUGAGCCAAAGGCAGACGCUUAACGACUGAGCCACCCAGGAGCCCCUGGAGUAGUCUGUAUCUUUUUUUUUUUUUUUAAAGAUUUUAUUUAUUUAUUUGAGACAGAGAGAAUGAGAGAGACAGAGAGCACAUGAGAGGGGGGAGGGUCAGAGGGAGAAGCAGGCUCCCUGCCGAGCAGGGAGCCCGAUGCGGGACUCGAUCCAGGGACUCCAGGAUCAUGACCUGAGCCGAAGGCAGUCGCCCAACCGACUGAGCCACCCAGGCGCCCCUGGAGUAGUCUGUAUCUUGAUUGUGGUAGUGCUUAUACAAGUCUACACGUGAUAAAAUGACGGAAUUAUACACACACACCAAUAUAAGCGUACCUCGUUUUAUUGUGCUUUGCAGAUACUGUGUUUUUUACAAAUCGAAAGUCUGUGACCACUCUGUUGAGCAAGUCUUUUGGAGCCAUUUUUUUCAACAGUAUUUGCUCACUUUGUGUCUCUCUGUCACAUUUUUUAAUUCUCUCAAUAUUUAAAACUUUGUCAUUAUUGUAAUAUUUGAAUUGCUGCAAAUCUCGUAAAAUUUUAACAGAUGAGGAGUUGCUUCUUAUUGAUGAGCAAAGAAAGUAUUUUCUUAGAUGGAACGUACUCCUGGUGAAGGUGCUGUGGAGAUUGUUGAAAUGACAACAAAAGAUUAGAAUAUACGUAAAGUUAGUUGUUAAAGUAACAGCAGGGUUUGAGAAAACUGACUCCAAUUUUGAAAGUUUUGUGGGUAAAACACUAUCAAACAGCAUUGCCUGCCACAGAGAAAUCGUUUGUGAAAGGAAGAGUUAAUCCAUGUGAUAAAUUUCAUUGUUGUCUUAUUUUAAGAAAUUGCCCAAGUAACCCCAGUCUUCAACAACCACCACCCUGAUCAGUCGGCAGCCAUCAACAUUGAGGCUCUAAGCCCAACAUGGGGCUUGAACUCACAACCCUGAGAUUGAGAGUCACAUGCUCUACCAACUGAGCCAGCCAGACACCCCGGCAGUAAGACUUAGAGCUGAAGAAGCUGGCAACCAAGAAACAGUGAUGGGCCACAGACAAAAAACACCCCAAGAGGGCACCUAGGUGGCUCAGUUGGUUAAGCGACUGCCUUCAGCUCAGGUCAUGAUCCUGGAGUCCCGAGAUCAAGUCCUGCAUCAGGCUGUCUACUCAGUGGGGAGUCUGCUUCUCCCUCUGACCCUCCUCCCUCUCAUGUUCUCUGUCUGUCAUUCUCUCUCUCAAAUAGAUAAAGUCUUUAAAAAAUAAAAUAAAUAAAAACACCCCAAGAAAAGCCUGCUUUCUGUAGCCAAAGGACUAGAAAAGAGGUUUGCAAGACAAAACUUUUAGACAGUAACCACUCUACUCCAGCCAAACAUCACAGAAAAAAACUCAGGCCCUACUCCCACCCAUGCCACAAAGGUUAAGGGGGGAGCUUAUUCUUCCACCCUUGUGAGGCUGUAUCGAAAUGCUCCAAACUCCUGCUGGGGUGGUAUCAGAGAAAGCCAAAUAGGGAGCUGAGAUUAUCACCCCCAUGAGGCAAUAACAAGGCACUGAACCCUCCUGACAGAGGUAGUGUCUGAAGAGAACUAAUCAGAACUUUAAGGGCUUUCAACAAUGUCCAGUGAUUAUGAGACUGCAUAUACCCCCAUGUCAGUGGAGUCCUCGUGAGGAGCAUUAAUAGGCAGUCUGCUACACUCUGCUAAGGAAGUAUUAGUUGAGCCCUACUGGAGAGCCAGAACUCAUGUCUGAGCCUAGCAGUAAUGAGGAACCCUUCCCUUGGGUGUCCAAGGAGGCUAAUUGUAAACCUGGACUUCUGUCUUCACCUGACAGUAACAAGAGGCCCCCCCGCCUUUUGCCAGACCAGUGGAAGAAAAAGGAAAACAGAAGGUUUAAGUAAGAUCCCAAGUCUGAGAACAUAAUAUGAAAAUGUCCAGGUUUCAAUCUGCUCAGGGGGGAGUCUGCUUCUCCCUCUCCUGCUCCAGCUCCCCCUGUUUGUGCUCUCUCUCUCUAAUUAAUAAAAACAAUCUUUUUUAAAAAAUAAAAAAAAUGAUACCUAUGGGAGGGAAAAGAGACCUGAAGGGAGGUAAAGUUUCUGCACUUCACUUGAACUGGCAACUGGCAAAACCGUAGACAGUGAUAAGACUAUGAUAAAAAUAAUAUAAUAACUAGAGAAACAACUAAAAGCUAUGCAUCUAAAAGCUAUCAAAGCUAUACAAAAGCACUAUAGAUUCCUUAUUUCAAAACUUCUGGGGCGCCUGGGUGGCUCAGUCAGUUGAGCAUCUGCCUUCAGCUCAUGUCAUGAUCCCAGGGUCCUGGGAUUGAGUCCCGCAUCAGGCUCCCCGCUCAGCGGGGAGCCUGCUUCUUCCUCUCUCUUUGUCCCUCCCCCUGCUUGUGCUUGCUCUCACUCUCUCUGUCAAAUAAAUCUUUAAAAAAAAAAAUUUUUUUUUAAAGAUUUUAUUUAUUUGACAGAGAGACACAGAGAGAGCCACCCAGGUGCCCCUAAAAAAUAACUUCUUACAAAGCUACACUAAUCAAGACACUGUGUUACUGAUGUAAGGACAGACACAGAUGAAUGGAAUAAAAUUGAGAAUCCAGAAAUGGACCAUUGCUUUUAUCAGCAAUUACAUUCCAAUGGGGAAAGAUUCUUUUCAACAAAUGAUGCUAAGACAACUAGAUAUCCACAUGACAGAUCAGUGAAGUCAGUCCCAUUCAUCAUACCAUACACAAAAAUGAACUCAACAUGGAUAAACUUCCUAAAUGUCAGAGCUAAAACUGUACAACUUUUAGAUGAAAACAGAUGUAAAUCUUCCUGACUUUGGGUUACACAACUAUUCCUUAGGUGUAUCACCAUAAACACAGUAACAAAAGAAAAAAAGAAACUGUAUAUCAUCAAAAUUAAAAAUGUUUGUGCUUCAGGGGGCCCGGCUGGCUCAGUCAGAAGAGCAUGUGACUCUCGGACUCAGGGCCGUGAGUUUGAGCCCCACGUUGGGUGUAGGGAUUACUUAAAUAAAUAAACUAAAAAAAAGAUUUUUGUGUGUGUGCUUUAAAGGACACAUAAUCAGGAAAAUGAAAAAGACAACUCACAGAAUUGGAGAAAAUUUUUGCAAAUAAUAUAUCUGAGAAGGGACUUGUAUCUAGAAUAUAAAAUUGCAACUCAAUGAUAAAAAGACAACCCAGUUUUAAAAGGGACCUGAAAAGACAUUUCUCCAAAGAAUAUAUACAAAUGGCCUAUAAUGAAAAGGUGCUCAACAUCAUUAGCCAUUAAGGAAAUAUACACAGAUUCCUAAGCAAAUAUUAACAAAUCGAAUUCAGCAAUAUAUGAAAGUAAUUAUAUACCAUGCCCAAAUGAGGUUUUAAGGAUGCAGGCUUUUCAGUAUUUGAAAAUCCAUCAGUGUAAACAGGCUGUUAAACAGGCUGAAGAAAAAUCACAUGAACAUGACAUUCAAUGCAGAAAAAGCUUUUGAAAAAAACAAAUUCUUGAUAAAACUCUCAAGAAUAGAGGAGAACUUCCUCUACCUGAUAAAGAGCAUCCACACACACAAAAAAAUCUACAAAUAACUUUAUACUUAAGGGUGAAGAAUGAAAUCCAAUCAGUUGCUUUUCCUGUAAGAUUGAGAACAGAGUAUAUCUACUGUCGCUGUAACAGCACUCCAGCUGGUCUUAAGGGUUAACUUGCUUCCAGCUUAUGCACUCCUUGCUUGCUGACCAAAGUCCCUUGGUCUGUAGUAGACCUGACAUAAUCUUGAGAUUUGCAGACCACUGGCCUUGAGGAGUGAAGGACCCAACUUUCCCGGAAGAUAAAGUCUGACUAAAUUUGAAAACAGCUUUAUUUAUUCAUUCGCUAACGCCAGCAAAUCCGUUCAGAGUCAUGUCGACAAGAGACUAACCUAACCACCUGGGCACCUUCUUCUCCUGCACAUAGUCCCCCUCCCUUUACCCAUGACUUCUCCUUUAAAGCCUUCCAGCUCCCCUGGGUGUGGAAGAUGGUCUUUGAGAUGUUAGUUCACCAUCUUUCCAGGUUGCCGGCUUCCUGAAUAAAGCAACCUUUCGUUUCCCACCAUCACUUGUCUCUUGAGUAUUGAUUUUCAAGUGGUGAGCAGCUGAACCUGAGUUCAGAACCAGUUCUCAAUUUGUCACCAGUCCUAUUACACAAAGUGCCAGGAAUUGUAGCCUGCUCAAUAAGUCAAGAAAAGGAAAUAAAAGGCUUUCAUAUCAGAAAGGAAGAAAUGUUCUAUAGUAUUAAUGUCAAUAUUCUGGUUGGGAUAUCAUGGUAAAGUUUUGCAACAUGUUGCCCUUGGGGGGAACUGAGUAAAGGAUACAAGCAUCUCUGUAUUAUUUCUUACAACUGAAAGUUGAUAUAGAAUCAUCUCAAAAAAAAUUUUUUUUUUAAAGAUUUUAUUUAUUUGACAGAGAGAGACAAAUGUAUGGA